CGCCUCUUGCAUUCCAAAGUAUAAGAGGUCCCACCUGCCCUGUGACUCUAAGUUUAACGGCCGCGGUAUUCUAACCGUGCGAAGGUAGCGCAAUCAAUUGCCUUUUAAAUGAAGGCCUGUAUGAAUGGUAUAACGAGGGUCUAGCUGUCUCUUUUUUCUAGUCAGUUAAACUGAUCUGUCCGUGCAGAAGCGGACAUUAAUAUACAAGACGAGAAGACCCUAUGGAGCUUUAGACACUAGCCAACUGUGAAUAAGCGACUGAGCUGAACAAGUCCUAAAUACCCGCAGCCUUAUGGUAAUGUAGUCUUAGGUUGGGGCGACCACGGGAGAAAGUAAAGCUCCCAAGCAGACCGGGAAAACCCUUAAGCCGAGAGUUGCAACUCUAAGCCGCAAAAUUUUUGACUGAAAUGAUCCGGUUGAAAAACCGAUUAACGAACCAAGUUACCCUAGGGAUAACAGCGCAAUCCUCUCCCAGAGUCCCUAUCGACGAGGGGGUUUACGACCUCGAUGUUGGAUCAGGACAUCCUAAUGGUGCAGCCGCUAUUAAGGGUUCGUUUGUUCAACGAUUAAAGUCCU
rnacentral:rRNA from 1 species